rnacentral:rRNA from 1 species
GUACGGGAGGCAGCAGUGGGGAAUCUUCCGCAAUGGACGAAAGUCUGACGGAGCAACGCCGCGUGAGUGAUGAAGGCCUUCGGGUUGUAAAGCUCUGUCUGGCGGGACGAAUGGGGUAUGGGUGAAUAGCCCGUAUCCGUGACGGUACCGCCAAAGAAAGCCCCGGCUAACUACGUGCCAGCAGCCGCGGUAAUACGUAGGGGGCGAGCGUUGUCCGGAAUUACUGGGCGUAAAGCGCGCGUAGGCGGCUUGAUAAGUCAGGUGUGAAAACUUAAGGCUCAACCUUAAGAUGGCAUUUGAAACUAUCAGGCUUGAGGGCAGGAGAGGAGAGCGGAAUUCCUAGUGUAGCGGUGAAAUGCGUAGAUAUUAGGAGGAACACCAGUGGCGAAGGCGGCUCUCUAGACUGAUCCUGACGCUGAGGUGCGAAAGCCAGGGGAGCAAACGGGAUUAGAUACCCGCGUAGUCCC